AGCUUUGUGCGGUGGCAGUAUCGUAGCCAAUGAGAUUUAUCCGAGGCUCACUGUUGCUAAUUAAAAAAAAAAAAAAGAUGACCACCUCACAAUUUUUUAAAUAUAUUUUUAU
rnacentral:snRNA from 1 species